AUGCCUAGGCUCAGAGGAUGACAAGAGAACUUUUGCAUUAAGAUCUUUUGAAACAUACAUACCGACACCUCCGCCGCGCAUUCCACUCCGAUCAGCUCUAAAAAACUUAUAUCCAGAAAUUCUAACAGCCUGAGUAUUGUAUCAGACCACCGGAACAGGAUACUGGAGCAAAGAGGAUGCUGAGAUUAAAACAGAACAUGUAGGAUACAGGAGAAAAUCAGGAUAGGGAAGAGGCCGGAACGGGAUACUGGAGCGUAUCGGAUACUGGAUUAAGACAGGAUACUGGAACAGGCGGGAUACAAUAUCGAAUAGAAUAUAGAAACACGCUGGAUGCAUAGAUGAUUAUUAGUCGAAUGUCGUGAAGAUUUCUAAGAUUCAAUAAUGAUGUGGCAGUAACAAUAGGAUGGUUAGUUGGCAUAUCGGUUUUAACGUUUUAGUAGAAUGGAUUGUUUAAUGAUGAAAAUAGAAUCCGAUGCAGAAAAUAAAUGACUUUUUACACUAAA